AUCAACGCUGGCGGCGUGCCUAACACAUGCAAGUCGCACGAGAAAGGGACUUCGGUCCUGAGUACAGUGGCGCACGGGUGAGUAACACGUGAAUAAUCUACCUUCGAGUGGGGAAUAACUGAGAGAAAUCUUAGCUAAUACCGCAUAAUACCCACGGGUCAAAGCAGCAAUGCGCUUGAAGAGGAGUUCGCGGCAGAUUAGUUAGUUGGCAGGGUAAUGGCCACCAAGACGAUGAUCUGUAUCCGGCCUGAGAGGGCGCACGGACACACUGGAACUGAAACACGGUCCAGACUCCUACGGGAGGCAGCAGUGGGGAAGUUUUGUCGC
rnacentral:rRNA from 1 species